rnacentral:rRNA from 1 species
UACGGGGGGGGCAAGCGUUGUUCGGAAUUACUGGGCGUAAAGGGCUCGUAGGUGGCCAACUAAGUCGGACGUGAAAUCCCUCGGCUUAACCGGGGAACUGCGUCUGAUACUGGAUAGCUUGAGUUCGGGAGAGGGAUGCGGAAUUCCAGGUGUAGCGGUGAAAUGCGUAGAUAUCUGGAGGAACACCGGUGGCGAAGGCGGCAUCCUGGACCGACACUGACACUGAGGAGCGAAAGCCAGGGGAGCAAACGGG